AGCGGACCAACGCCCAAAUUUUUCCACAACCCUUCUUCUUUUUUCUGGCAGAGACAGAGAAGAAGAUCAAGGGAAAAUGGCAUUAACAGGUGUGAAGAUGUGCGAGGAUGUAUGGUUAACAUGUCUAACUCAUGCAUUGUCUACAGAAACAGAAGAGAUCAUGGGUCUUCUUCUUGGAGAUAUUCAUUACUCAAAGAAUGGGAGUGCCACUGCAUUGAUUUGGGGAGCAGCACCUCAGACAAGGUCUGAUCGUCGCAAGGAUCGAGUGGAGACAAAUCCGGAGCAGUUGGCAGCAGCAUCAGCUCAAGCUGAAAGAAUGACAUUGACGACCGGAAGGACUACAAGAGUAAUUGGUUGGUACCAUUCUCACCCGCAUAUCACAGUUCUACCAUCUCAUGUUGAUGUUCGAACGCAGGGUAUGUAUCAAAUGCUAGAUACUGGGUUCACUGGACUGAUUUUCUCUUGUUUCAAUGAGGAUGCACAAAAGACUGGAAGAAUCCAGGUUAUCGCGUUCCAAUCUUUAGAUGGGAAGCUGAAAUAUAUGGCAACACCAGUUUCUGUAGUCCCUGUCAAUAGCACUCCAGUUAUAGAAGUUGAAUCAUCUUUGAGUACUUCAGAAAAUGUGUUACCAAGAUCUGCCUCUGGAAGGCCAGAAAUAUCUGAGCGCGACACAGCAAGUUCAGGAACAACUAAGGCUUCGGGUAAAGCUCCAAACUUGGAGGGAUUUUUCGCUCAUGCGGAUCAUCCAGGGAGAGAUAAAAUGGGAGGAGGAAGCCAUCAGAUGGACGAAUUACAAGAUGCCAUCGUUGAUUUAGAUCCUAUGGAUAUUAAUGAAAGUAUGCAAGAGGCACUGCACCGUUCAACUAUGGAAUUGAGUGGUGCAGAGUAUGUUAGGAAGGAGGUUCCUCUAUUAGUUCUACCCACAUCAGCAUUGUUAAAGCUCGAAUCACCUUUAACAUCAUUUACUGACUUGCAACGCGUAUUAUAUGAAGAAGAGAAAGCAGCAUAUAAGCAAGCCGUUUUACAGAAUAUGCAGGAUGGGAAAGUACACCCCCUUGCAUUCAUCCAUCAUACCUCAACAUAUCAAACCUCCAUGUGCAAGUUGAUGGAAUAUUGUUUAAGCCCUUCGAUAAGUGCACUUCAGGACCGUUUAAGAGAAAAUGAGAUUCGGUUGAAGAUGCUAACAGAGGAAGCCAAGGCCUUGGAGAUUGAAUCUACCAGAGGCAGUGAUUCAAGUAUGAUGAGUUCUCCACGUGGUUCUCCUAGCCAUGGUCUCCGAGGCAAUGCAGCUAUGGGGCAGAGAGACUUAUAUCCUCCAGUAGAGUCAGUUGGUGUUAGAAGUCCUUCUGGUAUUGGUAGCCGGAGCAGAAGAUCUUAAAAUUGUACAGCUUCAUCGCUGCAUCCUGCAUCACUCUCUGUGUAUGAUUGGAGCAGAAUACACACUUUGAACUUCCAGUUUACAACCACUGUAAAAAAUGAGAGGAGAAACUGCAAAACCGUAUGAAAAAGUUAGGAAAUUUGGAUUGGACUACUGGUGAGUAUACACUUUCAUCUUUCAUGAAAGGAGAAGAUAUCUGACAGUAAAAUGGGUCGAUGGAUAAUUGAGAUGUGCAUUAAUGGAGUAGGAAGUAUCUCUGAGCAAAGAGUAAUGGGAUAUUGAGUUUUCCAAAAUAUUUGUUUUUCUCUGCAAAAAAAUACUGCAAUUUUUUGCUGGGUUCUGGUUCCUGAAAUUGCAACCAAAAGGGAGAAGUAUAAAGGAUCUUGCAGGCAAAAGUUAAGAAAAGCAUAAAGAAGGAAAGUCCAUAUAUAAAUAAUAUCAGUGGAUGUGUUUCUUCUCUGUCUGAAUAAUCCAAAUGUUCUUGGUGGAAGUGGGAAUGGAUUCUGUAUGAUCUUUUGCCCACUUCCAAUUCUCCCAUACUUUCUGUUCUUCUAUAUCUACAUGAGUAUAAAGAUAUAUGUUACAGUUUUCCUUGUCCGGGGAAGCCAGUGCAAACUUUGAACCAUGCUCUAUGUUAAAGUCUGAACCUGCAUUGCUGGAUGCAGUGUGCUUUUGGGUGGCCAUGAUCUCCACAGUGCUCGGUACGUACGGAUGAUGUGAUCGGUCAAUCGUUUAAUUUUUAUGGGGUCCCUUAGUUUGAUUUGGUGUAUCUCUAGAGAAUCAGUGUCUGAGACUCUGUAGGGGUGUCCAUAACAUCUUGUUACAUGUUUUAUCAUCUAAACUUUCAUAACAUGGCGUAAGAUCUUUUAGACACACCAUUAGAGAUGCUCUGAGUUGAUUAUGGUCUUCAUUUGAGCCGAUUUUCAAAUACGUAGGCGAUAAAGAUGGCUACAUGGUCCCGAAUCCACUUUAAAGGCGGUCAAGAUUCGCAUACGCCUCGUUAACGUGAAAUGAUCGAGCCGUGAGAACGAACCUACGGGGCUAUGGCCUUGGUUGUCUGGAUAUUGCAAGCUUUUCCUAAUUACUACUUUGAAAUCUUUGAUUUUUUAAUGCUACAAAUACUUAAGUCGGACCCAAAUACAGGUUGCUAAGUUGCAAAGAUUUUGGUCCCAUUCCUAUGGGGAUAUGUUCACAUGAAUAAUAAGUAUGUCAUAAUAGAGCAGUAUAAAUGGAAGUGGUUCAAUCUUUUGAA